rnacentral:rRNA from 1 species
AGUGAACGCUGGCGGUAGGCCUAACACAUGCAAGUCGAACGGCAGCACAGGAGAGCUUGCUCUCUGGGUGGCGAGUGGCGGACGGGUGAGGAAUACAUCGGAAUCUACUUUUUCGUGGGGGAUAGCGUAGGGAAACUUACGCUAAUACCGCAUACGACCUACGGGUGAAAGCAGGGGACCUUCGGGCCUUGCGCGAUUGAAUGAGCCGAUGUCGGAUUAGCUAGUUGGCGGGGUAAAGGCCCACCAAGGCGACGAUCCGUAGCUGGUCUGAGAGGAUGAUCAGCCACACUGGAACUGAGACACGGUCCAGACUCCUACGGGAGGCAGCAGUGGGGAAUAUUGGACAAUGGGCGCAAGCCUGAUCCAGCCAUACCGCGUGGGUGAGGAAGGCCUUCGGGUUGUAAAGCCCUUUUGUUGGGAAAGAAAUCCAGCUGGCUAAUACCCGGGGGUCAUGACGGUACCGUAAGAAUAAGCACCGGCUAAUUACGUGCCAGCCGCCGCAGUAA